rnacentral:rRNA from 1 species
UCACGCCUACGGGGGGCAGCAGUAGGGAAUCUUCCACAAUGGGCGAAAGCCUGAUGGAGCAACGCCGCGUGGGUGAAGAAGGUCUUCGGAUCGUAAAACCCUGUUGUUAGAGAAGAAAGUGCGUGGGAGUAACUGUUCACGUUUCGACGGUAUCCAACCAGAAAGCCACGGCUAACUACGUGCCAGCAGCCGCGGUAAUACGUAGGUGGCAAGCGUUAUCCGGAUUUAUUGGGCGUAAAGGGAACGCAGGCGGUCUUUUAAGUCUUAUGGUGAAGCCUUCGGCUU